rnacentral:rRNA from 1 species
AUUGAACGCUGGCGGCAUGCUUUACACAUGCAAGUCGAACGGUAACAGGCCUUCGGUGCUGACGAGUGGCGAACGGGUGAGUAAUGCAUCGGAACGUGCCCAAUCGUGGGGGAUAACGUAGCGAAAGUUACGCUAAUACCGCAUAAGCCCUGAGGGGAAAGCAGGGAUCGCAAGACCUUGCGCGAAUGGAGCGGCCGAUGUCAGAUUAGCUAGUUGGUGGGGUAAAGGCCUACCAAGGCGACGAUCUGUAGCGGGUCUGAGAGGAUGAUCCGCCACACUGGGACUGAGACACGGCCCAGACUCCUACGGGAGGCA